rnacentral:rRNA from 1 species
GACAGAGGUCCCGAGCGUUAGGCGGAAUCCCUGGGCUUAAAGCGUGUGUAGGCGGAUGCCUAAGUACCUUGUGAAAUCCCACGGCUCACCCGUGGAACUGCUUGGUAUACUGGGUGUCUUGAGCCACUUAGGGGCUACCGGAACAAAUGGUGGAGCGGUGAAAUGCGUAGAUAUCAUCUGGAAUACCGGAGGCGAAGGCGGCUCACUGGGGGUUUUCUGACGCUGAGGAACGAAAGCCAGGGUAGCGAACGGG